UACAGGGGGGGCAAGCGUUGUUCGGAAUUACUGAGGCAGGUAAGGUCUGUAGGUGGCCAACUAAGUCAGACGUGAAAUCCCUCAGCUUAACUGGGGAACUGCGUCUGAUACUGGAUGGCUUGAGUGUGGGAGAGGAAUGCGGAAUUCCAGGUGUAGCGGUGAAAUGCGUAGAUAUCUGGAGGAACACCGGUGGCGAAGGCGGCAUUCUGGACCAUAACUGACACUGAGAGACGGAAAGCCAGGGAGCAAACGGG
rnacentral:rRNA from 1 species